rnacentral:rRNA from 1 species
UACGUAGGGUGCAAGCGUUAAUCGGAAUUACUGGGCGUAAAGCGUGCGCAGGCGGUUUUGUAAGUCUGUCGUGAAAUCCCCGGGCUCAACCUGGGAAUUGCGAUGGAGACUGCAAGGCUAGAAUCUGGCAGAGGGGGGUAGAAUUCCACGGGUAGCAGUGAGAUGCGUAGAGAUGUGGAGGAACACCGAUGGCGAAGGCAG